AGCCAGUCGUACAGCACACGGUUAGGGUCGCCGACAUGCAUCCUAUACCUGCAGGAUAAAAGUGUGGGUCAGGGAGUCCUGGAUGAGAACCAGAUUGGGGUUGAUCUGGUCUCGCCGGAUGGCCAGUUUGUGGCGGUAACACAAUCUGCCUGUUACUGGGUAGGCAGGCUGCUACAACAAGGAACCAAUGGACAUCAUCCAACAACAUCACCACAAGCCACGAGGAAAGCUUACUCGCCCACGGAGCAGCCAUAUUACAGGGUCUUAUUGAUACGACACAGUAAGGUGAGGUGCAGUGCACGGUGCUCUUACAUGUCUACGUGCCUGGGUGAGCACAUCCUGCUGCCUCUGUUGUGCUGCGGACACCUCCAGGAUGUGCCUCUGGGUGGGCUGUCUAGACAUGGGGAUGCUGGCCUGGUGGCUAAUCUGGGACCGCACGAUCUCGUCGAUGGUCGGAUCCGCUGUCAAAAGGAAAGCAUAUAUCUAGUCCACUGAUCUCCUAUGUUUGAUUUGUUUUCACAUUGCAACUGAUUUUUUUCUGACAAUUUGAAAAUAUAUGUUAUAUCAAAUUUCGCUUUUUCUAUGUU
rnacentral:sRNA from 1 species